UACGUAGGGACCAAGCGUUGUUCGGAUUUACUGGGCGUAAAGGGCGCGUGGGCGGCGUGGUAAGUCACUUGUGAAAUCUCCGAGCUUAACUCGGAACGGUCAAGUGAUACUGCUGUGCUAGAGUACAGAAGGGGCAAUCGGAAUUCUUGGUGUAGCGGUGAAAUGCGUAGAUAUCAAGAGGAACACCUGAGGUGAAGACGGGUUGCUGGGCUGAUACUGACGCUGAGGCGCGAAAGCUAGGGUAGCAAACGGG
rnacentral:rRNA from 1 species